rnacentral:lncRNA from 1 species
AGCCAAUAAAUUUGAAAAAAAAAAGAAAAAAACAUUUUAAUUUUAAUUUUCCUAUUAUUAUUAAUUAUUAUUUUAUCUAAUUUUUGUUUUUAUUCUAUUUUUACAGGGAAACAUUCCAAGACAAAAUUUAAAUUCCACAUGUCAACCUACAAAUUCUUUUUAUUUUCCAGCCAAUGCCCACUCUACAUAUCCAUCAUUUUAAAAAAUCCUUUUACCCUAAGCUAGCCCAUUAACCCAAACCUAACCCAUCAUACCUACCCAAAAUCCAAAAGAAAAAAAAAGACCUUACACCCAUCAAAUCAAACUUUUUCACCUAGAACAAACCCACUACCCCAUAUUAACUCUCCACUUUUACCCCCACCUAAUUUUCUACUCCUCUCAAAUAAAUAAAAACUUCACCACCAAUCAAAUCCUACACCUUUCACCCAUCAUAUCCUAGCCUUCUCUUUACCCUAAAAAAAUAAUAAAACUACACACAAUCCCAUUUCCCCCCAUUUGACCGGCCAAAGAAAAAAAAUCUUUUUAGAAAAAAAAUCUUUUUCAAACUCUACCUUCUUUCUUUUAUUCCCCCUUUCUUUCUUCUUCACCUUCAACACUGCUAUUUUUUUUCUUUCCUUUACCAUCUUCAAAACAGACCUCACAGUAAGCCAUUGCACCACCCCACCAUGGUACGUACCCGCGACCGCGCAGCGCAAGAACCACCCUCAGUGGUAAACCAACGUCAAAACCGUUUUCCCGCUCCAACCUUUGUC